rnacentral:rRNA from 1 species
GACGAACGCUGGCGGCGUGCUUAACACAUGCAAGUCGAACGAAGUGGCGAACGGGUGAGUAACGCGUAAUCAACCUGCCCUUCAGAGGGGGACAACAGUUGGAAACGACUGCUAAUACCGCAUACUGAAGGAGGGGAUUUCGUGUGAUUAGCUGGUUGGGGGGGUAAAGGCCCACCAAGGCGAAGAUCAGGAGCCGGUCUGAGAGGAUGAACGGCCAAAAUGGGACUGGGACACGGCCCAGAACCCUACGGGAGGGAAGAGUGGGGAAUCUUCCGCAAUGGACGAAAGUCUGACGGAGCAACGCCGCGUGAGUGAUGACGGCCUUCCGGUUGUAAAGCUCUGUUAAUCGGGACGCGGUACCGGAAUAGAAAGCCACGGCUAACUACGUGCCAGCAGCCGCGGUAAUUC